AAACCAACAGGGAUUGCCCUAGUAACGGCGAGUGAACAGGCAAGAGCUCAGAUUUGAAAGGCACUUUUGUGCCGUUGUAUUCUGAAGUUAGGGUCCUGAGAAACGAUGCUUAAGUCUUCUGGAAAGGAGCGCCAUGGAGGGUGAUAGCCCCGUCUAGCAUUGACCUCAUAUAGGAUCUUAACAUGGAGUCGAGUUGUUUGGGAAUGCAGCUCAAAUGGGUGGUAUGCUCCAUCUAAAGCUAAAUAUCUGCGAGAGACCGAUAGUAAACAAGUACUGUGAGGGAAAGAUGAAAAGAACUUUGAAAAGAGAGUGAAAAAGUACGUGAAAUUGUUGAAAUGGAAGGGUAGGCCGCUAACCAUGUAGAGCCGUGUUUGGGGGGAAGAUAAAUGCUGUAGAAUGUAGCUCCUCGGAG
rnacentral:rRNA from 1 species